CUGGCCCGGAUCGCAGGUGGCCGUGCUAACAUUGUAAUACUCGUGCUCCUCGUGCCAGUUCCCCACGGCCAGCGGCACGUCCAUGCCCUCGUCCGUGAUGGCAAACAGGUUCUCUCCGCGCCGCCCGCGCUCUUUGUUGUGGCCCCACACGCACUUCUGAGCGUAGGCCUUGGCGAAGGCGGCCAGCGUGUCGUCCCACCUCUGCAGGGAUGCAAGGGAGUCGAGACAGGGGAGAUUCUCCAGUCUGUCUCAUCUCAGGUGAGACUCCGGGGAAGGGCAGUUUUGCUUAGAGAGAGCCUCCGAGAUUCCGUGUCCCUGGCUGGGAGAAGAUGGAGCGAGUGUGGCGCGUGGGAGGAGGGACUGACCCCAAGGACUGAGGAGGAAGACCUGGAUCCCAUUAAACCCUGUCUCGGCCUUUCCUGGAAA